AUAUCUUCCAAAUUCAUCCAUGUUGUAAAUGAUUAUAUGCUGUGAAGUUGGAGAAAAUCUCAAAAUUGCUGCAAGCACUGAAAGAAAUGCUAAAGCAAUUUAAGUUGAAAACAAGGGCAUUUGAGGAAAAAAUUGUUAGGUUAUUAAUAAAUAUUAUGCUCCAGU